rnacentral:rRNA from 1 species
AUGGAUUUGGCAGAGUUGAAGAGGGUAACGAGGCAGAUGAUCCCGACAUUUUGGUGUGGCUCUAUGCUUCCUCCGGCCACGUGCACGGCGAUGGUGGCCGUCGACCGAAGCUCGGGCACUCUCGGGGUGGCUGCAGAUGUGGGAGAGAAGGCAGAGGAGGGCCCCACUGGUCAACAACGCUUUGACCUCGUCCAUGUCAGCAAAACCACCGGUGCAAACCCACCAAUGACGAUUUUGAAUGGUUUGGGAUAG